UACGUAGGGGGCAAGCGUUGUCCGGAUUUAUUGGGCGUAAAGCGCUCGCAGGCGGCCCGAUGCGUCGUGCGUGAAACACCCCGGCUCAACUGGGGAGGGUCGUGCGAUACGGUCGGCUUGAGGCCAGUAGGGGGGAUGCGGAAUUCCGGGUGUAGUGGUGGAAUGCGUAGAGAUCCGGAGGAACACCAGCGGCGAAGGCGGCAUCCUGGACUGGUACUGACGCUCAUGAGCGAAAGCGUGGGGAGCGAGUCCGG
rnacentral:rRNA from 1 species